UCCAAUAUAUAGAUCUAAAUUCAAUUUUUGUCUCUUGUAACGUAAAUAGUCGAAAAAUAAAAUUUAUAUCUCCUUUACAUCUCUUCAUUGAAAAUAUUUCCGGCUACUUGGAAGAUCUAAAUCCCUACUUUGCACCAUCAUUGAAGAUGAUGUCACUUCACGUCAUUCGCUCAUUAAUGAAUGGAAUUUGUUUGUCAAGGAUUUUGAAUGAUCAUAUUUAAGUACAAUCUUACCAACAUCAUCUAACUUCAUCAAAAAAAUAUUCCCUUUUAUUGGUGGAUUUAAAAUCUCUUUUUUCUUUUCACCUAACAUCAACAAAAGUCCAUUGUACAGCCAUGAGAACACAGCUUGAGAAGUCUGG
rnacentral:lncRNA from 1 species